rnacentral:rRNA from 1 species
GGUCCCGCCUGCCCUGUGACUAUAUGUUCAACGGCCGCGGUAUUUUGACCGUGCAAAGGUAGCGCAAUCACUUGUCUUUUAAAUGAAGACCCGUAUGAAUGGCCUAACGAGGGCUUAGCUGUCUCUUUUCUCCGGUCAAUGAAAUUGAUCUCCCCGUGCAGAAGCGGGGAUUCUCCCAUAAGACGAGAAGACCCUAUGGAGCUUUAGACACAAAGCAACCCAAAUUACGACCCUAAAAUUAAAAUGCGGCAAUUAAAUGACCCCCGCUCAACUGUCUUUGGUUGGGGCGACCCUGGGGAAAAACAAAACCCCCACGUGGAACAGAAGGACCCCCUUCUACAACCAAGAGCCCCCGCUCUAAGUAACAGAACCUCUGACCAUUAAUGAUCCGGUAAAACCGAUCAACGAACCGAGUUACCCUAGGGAUAACAGCGCAAUCCCCUCCCAGAGCCCAUAUCGACGAGGGGGUUUACGACCUCGAUGUUGGAUCAGGAUAUCCUACUGGUGUAGCCGCUAUUAAGGGUUCGUUUGUUCAACGAUUAAAAUCCUACGUGA